AGGUGAUUUUGCUUGUUCACUAAACGCACCAUUAAGAUUGCAGGGCCUGGAGGUUCGGGGUGGCCCAUUACAUGUGGUGCUAAGCAAACAGAGUAUUUGGUUCAUUUGGGGAAUAAUGAUUUUUGUCAUAUCCGAACUGCCCAGAACGAUGAAAUUGAUUGUCGUCAAUAUCUUUGUAUAACCACGUUUCAAAUUGUUGUUGGAGAAGGAGGAAGUUGUAUCAAGACCUUAGAUUCAACUGUUUUUCAUGUGGAUGUUAGGCACUCUGGUACUUUCUAUAUUACAUUCAGCUUCGCACCUGAGUGCGGGGAUUUUGAACCUAAAGAAGAAGAGGAGAGUGUAGAAACAAAGUGCAAGAGACAAGCUGUCGAGCAUGAAGUAUUAAAGCAGAAAAUAGCAAGCACGAAAAAGCCAAGCAUUUCAGAAUAUGGGUUGUAUUUGUUGAACCAAAGACAGAAAAUAGAUGAAAAAAAAAAAAAAAACAUAAACCCCCUCAAAAGACAGAUAGAUGGUUGGGAGAUAUAAACUUAGUUCCGACGACAUACUCUCUGAUUUUCAAUCAAUCUUCUAGAUUUCUGAGUGUUAAUGGAAUUCGUUGGUGGGUAGAUGGAAGACUUACAUCAAGUUGUUUUCUUAGAAAAAUUGUUUAAAAUUAACAAUUCUUUUAUUGUUUAAAUAUAAAAUAAAGUAAAAAACCACGAAAGUUGAGGGGUAAGGGGUGUUUUUUAUUUGGUGAUUGAUUUGAGACGUAUUUAUGUGUGUAUAGUAUAUAUACACGCACAUCUUAUGUUGAUGAUGCAUCUAUAACGAUGUGCAUUACAAACGUCAGUUACAAAGACACCCUCUCAAUGUCAGCACUUUAACACCCUCCCUGCGAUGUGUCA